CCUACGGGUGGCUGCAGUGAGGAAUAUUGGUCAAUGGCCGCAGGGCUGAACCAGCCAAGUCGCGUGAGGGAUGACGGUCCUAUGGAUUGUAAACCUCUUUUGUCAGGGAGCAAAGGGCGCCACGUGUGGCGCUUUGCGAGUACCUGAAGAAAAAGCAUCGGCUAACUCCGUGCCAGCAGCCGCGGUAAUACGGAGGAUGCGAGCGUUAUCCGGAUUUAUUGGGUUUAAAGGGUGCGUAGGCGGAUCGUUAAGUCAGUGGUCAAAUUGAGGGGCUCAACCCCUUCCCGCCAUUGAAACUGGCGCUCUUGAGUGGAAGAGAAGUAUGCGGAAUGCGUGGUGUAGCGGUGAAAUGCAUAGAUAUCACGCAGAACCCCGAUUGCGAAGGCAGCAUGCCGGCUUCCGACUGACGCUGAAGCACGAAAGCGUGGGGAUCGAACAGGAUUAGAUACCCCUGUAGUC
rnacentral:rRNA from 1 species